rnacentral:lncRNA from 1 species
GGAGGUUCCCAGGCUAGAGGUCUAAUCAGAGCUGUAGCCGCCAGCCUAUGCCACAGCCAGAGCAACGUGGGAUCCUUAACCCACUGAGCAAGGCCAGGGAUCGAACCAGUAACCUCAUGGUUCCUAGUUAGAUUCGUUAACCACUGAGCCAUGACAGAAACUCCUAGAAAGUAAUUCUUACGUGACUUUUGUUAUAAUUACCAAAUGAUAUUUGAUGUUGGUAUAUAUUAGUACGUAGUACAUGUAAAAAACUUUAUGCAUCAAACUUUGAAUGUUUAUAUAUACAUAUAUGAAGUUUUACUGAGGAGGUAGAAGGUCAGAACCAAACAAAUUUGGAAACUACUCCUACAGAAGCUGCAAGCUUAUUGCAGACUGCCAUAAAACUCAGCAGGAGGAAUUCCUGAAACAGAUGGGAAACUCUGUUCUCACCCACAAGGGGAAGGAUUAGUAUGGGCACCACAGGGCCCCAAGCUCUAGUUAAAGUUGGGAACUCCCUCUACAUUUUUCAAGAAACCAAAGAUUGACCAUACCUGCCUUUCCUUAGUGUGGAACUUCUCAGAGCUUUAAAACAUUGACAUGCAUUGAGAAUACUCAGCAGUUCCUUGAAUGUUACAGAAUCCUGUGUGUGUGUGUGAAUGUGUGUGUGUGUUGCAUCUCAAAGGGCUAUUGCUUUAUGAUCACAGUUUUGAAGAAACCCCGAGAUAGACAAUUAUUUCUUUUUUCUUCUUACAUUUCAUUCACAAAUGAUAUCAGCUGGCCCUUCAAGUCAAUAACAUUCUGUCAUGAGCCUUUCCCUCUAUGGACCUUAAGCAACUCUCUAAAUAGGGACGGCUCUGCUUAAAACUACUUGCAAACGUUCCUGGCAAGAAACUCCUAAGGAAGUAUUUGAGCAUGGUAGUGUAUAUUUAAGUGCAGAUGUUAUAUAUAUCAUAAAAGGUAUAAGGGGUUUCCCAUGAUAUAACUUUAAAGAACUGGUUGCUCACUCAUGCAUGGGUGGCUUGGUGCCAAAGAAGAUGACCACUCUUGGUAACAGCCAUGACUAAAGUACAUUCCAGUUAGCCCCUGCAGUAUGCAGAAUAAUGGCCCCCUAAAGAUGUCACUUCCUAAUUCCUAAAGCCUGUGACUAUGUCAUCUUACAUGGCAAAAAGUACUUUGCAGAUGUAUUUAAAUUAAAACUUUGAGAUAGCGUGAUUAUCCUGAAUUUUCUGGGUGUGUGAAUAUCUAGUGUGACUACUAAUGUAAUUACAGUGGUCCUUAAAAGUGAAGAAGGAGGAAAAUGUAAUCACAGGGUUCUUAGAACUGGAAGGAAGCAGAGAAAGAUGUGACCAUGGAAGAGUGAUCAGAGAGACGCAGCAUUGAUGGCAUACAGGUGGAAGAGGGCUAUAACCUAAGGAAUGUGAAUGCCUCAGGAUGCUGGAAAAAGGCAAGGAAAAGGGAACCUCUCUAGAGC